GAGACACCCCUCUGGGGCUAGACUUGCUUCAAUGGGGCUUUGGUGCUCACUGAAUCUGCCCCCUGAGUGUGUCUUU
rnacentral:pre_miRNA from 1 species